rnacentral:rRNA from 1 species
UACGGAGGGUGCAAGCGUUAUCCGGAAUCACUGGGUUUAAAGGGUGCGUAGGUGGUAUCGUAAGUCAGAAGUGAAAGUUUGCGGCUUAACCGUAAAAUUGCUUUUGAUACUGCAAUACUUGAAUCAGGUUGAGGUUGGCGGAAUGUGGCAUGUAGCGGUGAAAUGCUUAGAUAUGCCAUAGAACACCAAUUGCGAAGGCAGCUGACUGGACCUGUAUUGACGCUGAGGCACGAAAGCGUGGGGAGCGAAC